UUCCGCAAUGGACGAAAGUCUGACGGAGCAACGCCGCGUGAGUGAUGACGGCCUUCGGGUUGUAAAGCUCUGUUAAUCGGGACGAAAGGCCUUCUUGCGAAUAGUUAGAAGGAUUGACGGUACCGGAAUAGAAAGCCACGGCUAACUACGUGCCAGCAGCCGCGGUAAUACGUAGGUGGCAAGCGUUGUCCGGAAUUAUUGGGCGUAAAGCGCGCGCAGGCGGAUAGGUCAGUCUGUCUUAAAAGUUCGGGGCUUAACCCCGUGAUGGGAUGGAAACUGCCAAUCUAGAGUAUCGGAGAGGAAAGUGGAAUUCCUAGUGUAGCGGUGAAAUGCGUAGAUAUUAGGAAGAACACCAGUGGCGAAGGCGACUUUCUGGACGAAAACUGACGCUGACGCGCGCCAGCAGGACACGGAUA
rnacentral:rRNA from 1 species